UUAAAGGAAUCAAUCUCCCGUAGAAACAGUUUCCUCGGCUAUCCUAAACAGGGAGGCGGGACAAGUUACCAGCCAAUAAAAGAGACCACAGACAGGGGAUUGGCCUCCAUUUCAUGAUAUGGAAGCUACAAGUAGUCCUUUUCCAGGUGAUUUGAUUCCAAAAUGAAUAGCCAAAGAAAAUCUCAAGGAAACACGUACAAUCCACCUGCACUAAGUACGGACAAAAAAAGAAUGGAAGGGUGUUUACUCUUCUAUUUACAUGUUCGUCUUUUCCGAGUUGAAAUUCGCCACUUUACACGAUCUUCUCAACCAUGUUAUCCUUCUUUUAAGAU